GAAAGAAGAAAAGAAGUAACAAAACGCUACACACUUCUUCCAUCUGCGAUUUUUUUUUUUUUAAUUUCUCGCUCUCUCUCUCUUCCUCUCUCUUUCUCCCCA
rnacentral:ribozyme from 1 species